GAUGAACGCUGGCGGCGUGCCUAAUACAUGCAAGUCGAGCGAACAGAUGAGGAGCUUGCUCCUCUGACGUUAGCGGCGGACGGGUGAGUAACACGUGGAUAACCUACCUAUAAGACUGGGAUAACUUCGGGAAACCGGAGCUAAUACCGGAUAAUAUAUUGAACCGCAUGGUUCAAUAGUGAAAGACGGUUUUGCUGUCACUUAUAGAUGGAUCCGCGCCGCAUUAGCUAGUUGGUAAGGUAACGGCUUACCAAGGCAACGAUGCGUAGCCGACCUGAGAGGGUGAUCGGCCACACUGGAACUGAGACACGGUCCAGACUCCUACGGGGGGCAGCAGUAGGGAAUCUUCCGCAAUGGGCGAAAGCCUGACGGAGCAACGCCGCGUGAGUGAUGAAGGUCUUCGGAUCGUAAAACUCUGUUAUUAGGGAAGAACAAAUGUUUAAGUAACUAUGCACGUCUUGACGGUACCUAAUCAGAAAGCCACGGCUAACUACGUG
rnacentral:rRNA from 1 species